AAAAUUGGAACACAAAGUUUUACAAAGGGUAGAAUUCAAACUUUUUUUUUUAAUUCCUGGAAGUUAAAGAAAAGGAAGGUCAAUUUAGUGCUUUACUGAUAAAGUUCUCCAGUGUGUUCCAACAUAUGGUGCCUGAACGUGGGGUAAGAAUUACAAGAAGAAUCAGAGCUGUUUGUGAGAAGGAUCCUUCCAGAAUUAAGAAAGAAGAGCCCGGGUAAGACUUUGUUAGUUGGGGUAAUUAAAUGGGCCAACACAUCAAAGGGCUGAGCCAGGAGACUGAUGAGACUUAAAUGCUGAUUGUGACUACAAUCCUCUUCUCCAUUUAAAAGUUUGCCUCGAUCAACACCUGCUACAACCAUCCAGAAGUGAUAAUGCUGCUUGCAUUCCUCAGUGUGCCGACUAUGCUGUGGGGGGAAAAUAACUGCAAAAAAACAAACAAACAAACAAAAACCGGGGAAUUGUUAAGGGU